UACGUAGGGUGCAAGCGUUAAUCGGAAUUACUGGGCGUAAAGCGUGCGCAGGCGGUUAUGUAAGACAGGUGUGAAAUCCCAGGGCUUAACCUUGGAACUGCAUUUGUGACUGCAUAGCUAGAGUACGGUAGAGGGGGAUGGAAUUCCGCGUGUAGCAGUGAAAUGCGUAGAUAUGCGGAGGAACACCGAUGGCGAAGGCAAUCCCCUGGACCUGUACUGACGCUCAUGCACGAAAGCGUGGGAGCAAACAGG
rnacentral:rRNA from 1 species